ACUUCCUCCUCCCGAGACCAGCCAAGCGCGCCUGGCUGUCUGCCCUUCUUGGGCUCUUGGGGAGAACGUGGUCCGGGAACUGGCAGUCACGGGGAGGCAGCACAAGAGGUUUUCGCCCUCAUGUGCUGGUGCAACUAUCGCGACCAUCACCCUGAGAACUGGAGGAAGGGUGCCGCAGGCAAAGAGUGGCGCGCCUGCAGAUUCGGUUCCGCGCUUGGGGCUCUCGCGAGACCCGGCGCUGGAGUGUGGACCGCGCGUGCCGGUGACGCGUGGUGCAGACACGUCGCCGGUGCCUCUCUCCCUAGGCCUUCCUGGGGGUGAGCUUCCGUCCCAGACGUCUUCGGUCCUACACUGCUUCCAUUUCUUUUUUUUUUUUUUCCUUCUUUUUUUCUUUGAGACAGGGGCUCAUUCUAUCACCCAGGCUGGAGUGCAGCGGCGCGAUCUCGGCCCACCGUAAGCUCCGCCUCCCGGGCUCAAGCGAUCCUCCCACUUCAGCCUCCUGAGUAGCUGGGACUCCAGGUGAGCGCCCUGCUAAUUUUAUAUUUUUGGUAGAGACGGGGUUUCGCCAUGUUGCCCAGGCUGGUCUCAACUCCUGGUCUCAAGUGAUCCGCCUGCCUUGGCCUUCCAAAGUGCUGGGCUUACAGGCGGGAGCCACUGCACCCAGCCCUACGCCCCAUCUUUCUGGGUUUCUGCCUGGUAUUGUUACAUCUCCAACAGGCUUAACUCAAAGCUGACUUUCCGCCUGUGCUGUAUCUGCCCCAUGGUCCUUUAGAGUAUAUAAAAUAUAAAUGGCACUUUGGGAGGCCGAGGCAGGAGGAUUGCUUGAGCUCAGGAGUUACUGACCAGCCUGGGCAACAUAGUGAGACCCCCGUCUCAUUAAAAAAUAAUAAUGCAGGCAGGGCGCAGUGGCUCAUGCCUGUAAACCGAGCACUUUCGGAGGCCAAGGUGGGCGGAUCGCCUGAGAUUGGGAGUUCGAGACCAGCCUGACCAACAUGGAGAAACCCCAUCUCUACUAAAAAUACAAAAUUAGUUGGGCGUGGUGGUGCGUGCCUGUAAUCCCAGCUAUUCAGGAGGCUGAGGCAGGAGAAUCGCUUGAACCCGGGAGACGGAGCUUACAGUGAGUCGAGAUGAGCCACUGCACUCCAGCCUGGGCAACAAGAGCGAAACUCCAUCUCAAAUAAUAAUAAUAAUACAAAUAAAUAAAUGUACACACACAAAUAAAUGGACUUGAUAGCGAUUUUUUUAGGUUUUCAGCUGCCCAAUUCAAGAAAUGUAUUUCUUCUUGUCCCUGAUUUCCGUCACUGUCCCAAGGCAGUGGGAUUAAAGCACCACUACCGUUUUUAGAUCCUUGUGUUUGGCAUUCCAUGUCCUCCUCUCAAGACGUUUGACGUAACUUUCUCCAUCUGCUCUGUUGAAACAUAUGCUUCAAAAUCUUUUUUUUUUUUUUUU
rnacentral:lncRNA from 10 species